UGGCUAAAGCUGGUAAAGGACUUCUUGAAGGUACGUUGCAGGCUGGCACUUCUGCCGUUUCUGAUAAGUUGCUUGAUUUGGUUGGACUUGGUGGCAAGUCUGCCGCUGAUAAAGGAAAGGAUACUCGUGAUUAUCUUGCUGCUGCAUUUCCUGAGCUUAAUGCUUGGGAGCGUGCUGGUGCUGAUGCUUCCUCUGCUGGUAUGGUUGACGCCGGAUUUGAGAAUCAAAAAGAGCUUACUAAAAUGCAACUGGACAAUCAGAAAGAGAUUGCCGAGAUGCAAAAUGAGACUCAAAAAGAGAUU
rnacentral:rRNA from 1 species